CAGCAGGGAGGCGGGAUGAGGCGGGACUCCCAGGUAAUAAGGUGCCUUCUGAUUGGCCGACGUAUGGGCGUAAAACGUACUUUGAUUGGUCUGGUCCCCUGCUGCGUCACGACGCAUGCUCGACUGGGGAUGCUGGUUGUGGAUGAACUUGGGAAGAUGUGAGCUGGUGGGAUUUUGGCCUGUGCUGGCGUUCAAGAGAGCAGCGUGGGGGACACAAGGAUGCUCCCUGCAAGACAAGCGCGAGGCGACUUGGUCGUCGUGGGGUGCAGGGGGAGUUCGAUGCCGCAGGUUAUGGACAACUGCAGCGUCUUUGCGCACCGGAGGGCCACCCGUGUCCCCACGUGCAUAGGAAGCACUCCUUCCCUCCUGGCUGGUGCAGAAUGAGGCUGGACCACUGACUCAAUGUGUCUCUGCUUCCUUGCCGUGGAUUUCCCUUCAUUUCUUUCCCAUCACCGCUGAGAUGCACUUCUCAAGGCAUACAGAUGACUUCUGUCAUUAGCACACUGUGUCAGAUGGACAUGUUUACGUGUUUUCACUAUGUCGGAAUGUUACUGAAUUACAAUAAAUUUCACAAAGUACA